UACGUAGGUGGCAAGCGUUGUCCGGAUUUACUGGGCGUAAAGAGCGCGCAGGCGGUCGACCAAGUCGCGUGUGAAAGCCCCCGGCUCAACUGGGGAGGGUCACGCGAUACUGAUCGACUCGAAGGCAGGAGAGGGUAGUGGAAUUCCCGGUGUAGUGGUGAAAUGCGUAGAUAUCGGGAGGAACACCAGUGGCGAAGGCGACUACCUGGCCUGUUCUUGACGCUGAGGCGCGAAAGCUGGGGGAGCAAACGGG
rnacentral:rRNA from 1 species